rnacentral:sRNA from 1 species
GUGCUGAGCAGGUGUCUCUGCUAAGGUUGGUAUUAAUAGGGUGAUAUGUGGGAAGUUUAGGGUCCCCAGGUUACAGGGGGGGGGGCGGGUGUGAACCGGCCCAGAUCGGAAACGGAGCAGGUCAAAACUCCCGUGGCGAUUGAUAGCGGGAUAGCACCUGUGAAC